AGAAAACAGACAGUGGGCAGGGGACAUGUGUGAGUGGCCCUGAACUCCCAUCUCUCUUGCUCUGCGUCUUUAGUUCCACUUUCUGGAUUUGGUUUUCCUGCCAGUGGAAAGGGAGUGUUUGGGAAGAGAAGACCACGUUUGAGGAAAGGUGAUCAAGAUGGCUGACCAGAUGCAGGUAGCAUGGCCUUCUUCGUGGAGAGGAACUCCAUUUUAAACAGAUUAUCUAGGAGAGAAUGCUGGAAUUCAUCAGAGAAGAGAAGGGAUUCAACAGAGAAAAGAAGGGAAGCACAGGAAGUGAGUAAGGAGAGGGGAUUGACUGAAAGCUGAGAGUGGCUCCUGGAUGAGGGGAAAUUAUAAGAGAGAAACUCCCAGGGCUCCACACUUUGAAAUGGGCUUUUAUGAUCUUGGCUAUGGUAGAAACCCUCAACCCACUUGGGUCUUGGGCCUGACAUACGGAGCUCCCUAAAGAUUGUGCAGAGACAUUGCCCUGGAAAAUGGAACCCACAUGGAAUCCCAUUUGAGCCUAGAGCAGCCUCAGCUGAGUGCUGUUUUGAGAACCUGGAUACUGGAGAUCUAUAGAAAUGGUUGCUGCUGCUGUGCUGCUUCAAGUAAGUAUAGAGGAGACCCAGCACUCCCAGGCACCCAUGGGAGGGUCCUUUCUGCCUUGCUGCGGGCUGCUGUUGAGACUGAGAUGUGAGUGAACCACAUUCCCCACAGCUUCUUACCCUGGUUGCAGGCCCAAGGAACCAUUUUGAGAGUUUAAUACUGUGCCAUGCCCUGCCCUCAGGCCCAGUUUGAGUUGACCUGGCUGCAGCCACCACCUGGCCAAGGAGGGACAGGGAAACAAAGCUCCUUUACAUAUACCUGGGACAAUUUCCCCGACCCUGCUAUGGGCUGCUGUGACAGGGAGACUUGAGCAGACCCCACUCCCCACAACUUCUUGUCCAUACUGCUUACCAGAGAGGGGCCUGUCCUCUUUGGUCACAAGCCCACAGCUGGCACAAUCAUAAGAGUUUAAUGUUGGGCUCUGUCCCCCUUUUUGCCAAGUCUGAGGUGAUGCCACUGUAGCCGCCACCCAGAUGGGGGAGGCACAGGGGAGAACAAGCUCUCCUAAGCACACUUAGGUCAAUACCACUACCCUGCUACAGGAUGCUGUGGGACUGGGGAGUAGCCCACCCAACCCAUUGCAUCUACCAGCAACACCAACAUGGACUGCCUGGGUCCUAGUGGAUUGCUCCACCACCACUACUGCCAUCACCCAUAUCACACCAGGUUGUGCUUCCCAGGGGCCUGAGAACUUGCCCACAUCCCUGUCCCCCAACUCCCAUGACUCCUCUAAGCAAGCCACUAGGAAGCUCAAGAAUCAGCCUCCCAGGACUCACUAAUACCAAAGCCAGUAGACUGCUCUGGGGCUCAGCCAUACUCUCCAAGCUGCUGCCACCACCAGGGCCCAAAGAUGGGCUCAGUUGGCAUCCACCACCCAGCUAAAUUUCUCCUCGAUCUCAAGUAAUAACUGUACUCUAAGCUACCAAGGAAAUCAAAGAUACCAGUGACCCUGGGUACUGCCUAUGAAGUCAUACUAAGAUCACACUACCAUAGGCACCCAGAAUCAAAGCCAAAGUAUCCUACUCAACUAACAACAUGCAUACAUUUUUCAGGAAAAAAAUUUUCUCCUACAGGGCAAUUAAAAAAACUUGAACAAGCUACUGCUACACAAGAUUUGCAGAUAUCAAUGAAAGGACACAGGAAACAUGAAAAAGGAGAAAAAUGUGACAUCAUCAAAGGACCACAAUUGUCCAGCAACAGAUCCCAAUCAAAAAGAAUCCCUCAAUAUGCCAGAUAAAGAAUUCAAAAUACUGAUUUUAUAAAGCCCUACAAGAUGCAAGAGAAAUUUGAAAAUCAAUACAAAGAAUUAGAAAAUCAGUCCAGGAAAUGAAUGAGAAAUUUACCUAGAUAAAUAACUUAAAAAAAAAAACAAGCAGAAACUCUUGAACUAAAAAAAUUCAAUGAAGGGAAUACAGAAUAUAUUCAAAAGCUUCAAUAGUAGACUGGACCAAGCAGAAGAAAGAACCUCAGAACAUGGCUGGGUGCAGUGGCUCAUGCCUGUAAUCCCAGCACUUUGGAAGACCAAGGUAGGUGGAUUCCUUGAGGUCAGAGUUCAAGGCCAGUUUGGGCAACAUAGUGAAACCCUAUCUCUAAAAUUAGAAGAAAAAAAAAGAAUCUAAGAACUUGAAGACAGGUCUUUUGAAAUGUCCUGUCUGACAAAAUAAAGAAAAAUAAAUAAAAAAGAAUCAUCAAAGACUUUGAGAUAUCUGGGACUACAUAGUGUGACCAAACUUAUGCAUUUUUGGUAUUUCCAAGGGGGAAGAGAGAUUUUAAAAAAUUAGAACACCUAUUUUUAGGAAGUAAUUGAUGAAAACUUCCACAUCUAGCAAGAGAGUUAGACAUCCAGCUACAGAGCCCCAGCAAAUACAUUGCAAAAAGAACUUCACAUAAUAGUACAUUUAGAAAGUCUAAAGUCAAGAAGAAAGAAAGAAUUUUAAAAUUAGCAAGAGAAAAGCAUCUAGUUACCUAUUAAGAAAACUCAUCAGACUAACAGCAGACUUUUCAGUGGAAACCUUACAGGCUAGAAAAGAAGAGAAUGGCAUUUCCAACUGCUGAAAGAAAAGUACUGUCAGCCAAAAAUUUUAUGUUCUGGCAGAAUAAGCUUCAUAAAUGAAGGAGAAAUAAAAUCUUUUCUAGAGAAGCAAAUGGUGAGUAAACUUGUCAACACUAGCCUGUUCCUAUGGGAGAUGCUCAAAUGGGUCUUAAAUAUGGAAAUGAAAGGUCAACACUCAGCGUCAUGAAAACACACAGAAAAAUAAAACUCACAUUUCUUAUAAAAACAACCUCAUACAUGAGGAAGAGAAAAGAAUCAAAUGGCAACAUGGGAGAAUCUCAUCAAACCACAAUGACAAAAAGAGAAAAAGAAAGAAACAAAUAAUUUAUCACAUAAAACAACUUAAAAACAAUUAACAAUAUGACAAGAAUAAAGCCUUGCAUAUCAAUAUUAACCUUGAAUAAAUGGAUUAAAUGCUUCACUUACAAGAUAUGUAUUGGCGGAAUACUUUAAACAACA
rnacentral:lncRNA from 10 species